GGGUUGUGAGGUUAAGCGACUAAGCGUACACGGUGGAUGCCCUGGCAGUCAGAGGCGAUGAAGGGCGUGCUAAUCUGCGAUAAGCGCCGGUAAGGUGAUAUGAACCGUUAUAACCGGCGAUACCCGAAUGGGGAAACCCAGUGUGACUCGUCACACUAUCAUUAACUGAAUCCAUAGGUUAAUGAGGCGAACCGGGGGAACUGAAACAUCUAAGUACCCCGAGGAAAAGAAAUCAACCGAGAUUCCCCCAGUAGCGGCGAGCGAACGGGGAGGAGCCCAGAGCCUGAAUCAGCAUGUGUGUUAGUGGAAGCGUCUGGAAAGGCGCGCGAUACAGGGUGACAGCCCCGUACACAAAAGCGCAUGUGCUGUGAGCUCGAUGAGUAGGGCGGGACACGUGGUAUCCUGUCUGAAUAUGGGGGGACCAUCCUCCAAGGCUAAAUACUCCUGACUGACCGAUAGUGAACCAGUACCGUGAGGGAAAGGCGAAAAGAACCCCGGCGAGGGGAGUGAAAAAGAACCUGAAACCGUGUACGUACAAGCAGUGGGAGCCCCACCACUAAGCCAGUGGUGAACUCCACAUACGCAUCCUUUGCUGAGGAUACGGUUAACGGAGCGCAAGCGACGUUCAACCGCAAAAGAAGCAGAGGGGGCUUAGUGGUGGGGUGACUGCGUACCUUUUGUAUAAUGGGUCAGCGACUUAUAUUCUGUAGCAAGGUUAACCGUAUAGGGGAGCCGGAGGGAAACCGAGUCUUAAUUGGGCGUUAAGUUGCAGGGUAUAGACCCGAAACCCGGUGAUCUAGCCAUGGGCAGGUUGAAGGUUGGGUAACACUAACUGGAGGACCGAACCGACUAAUGUUGAAAAAUUAGCGGAUGACCUGUGGCUGGGGGUGAAAGGCCAAUCAAACCGGGAGAUAGCUGGUUCUCCCCGAAAGCUAUUUAGGUAGCGCCUCGUGAAUUCAUCUCCGGGGGUAGAGCACUGUUUCGGCUAGGGGGCCAUCCCGGCUUACCAACCCGAUGCAAACUGCGAAUACCGGAGAAUGUUAUCACGGGAGACACACGGCGGGUGCUAACGUCCGUCGUGAAGAGGGAAACAACCCAGACCGCCAGCUAAGGUCCCAAAGUCAUGGUUAAGUGGGAAACGAUGUGGGAAGGCCCAGACAGCCAGGAUGUUGGCUUAGAAGCAGCCAUCAUUUAAAGAAAGCGUAAUAGCUCACUGGUCGAGUCGGCCUGCGCGGAAGAUGUAACGGGGCUAAACCAUGCACCGAAGCUGCGGCAGCGAACGUAUCACUUAAAGCGAUUCAGCGGGUUACGAUUGACGGAGCGAAGCGACGUCAAAGCGUAUACAAAGUCGAGUCGGUUUAAGGAUACGUUCGUUGGGUAGGGGAGCGUUCUGUAAGCCUGUGAAGGUGGCCUGUGAGGGUUGCUGGAGGUAUCAGAAGUGCGAAUGCUGACAUAAGUAACGAUAAAGCGGGUGAAAAGCCCGCUCGCCGGAAGACCAAGGGUUCCUGUCCAACGUUAAUCGGGGCAGGGUGAGUCGACCCCUAAGGCGAGGCCGAAAGGCGUAGUCGAUGGGAAACGGGUUAAUAUUCCCGUACUUGGUGUUACUGCGAAGGGGGGACGGAGAAGGCUAUGUUGGCCGGGCGACGGUUGUCCCGGUUUAAGCGUGUAGGUGUGUGUUCCAGGUAAAUCCGGUUCACUUUAACACUGAGGCGUGAUGACGAGGCACUACGGUGCUGAAGCAACAAAUGCCCUGCUUCCAGGAAAAGCCUCUAAGCAUCAGGUAACACGAAAUCGUACCCCAAACCGACACAGGUGGUCAGGUAGAGAAUACCAAGGCGCUUGAGAGAACUCGGGUGAAGGAACUAGGCAAAAUGGUGCCGUAACUUCGGGAGAAGGCACGCUGACACGUAGGUGAAGUGAUUUACUCACGGAGCUGAAGUCAGUCGAAGAUACCAGCUGGCUGCAACUGUUUAUUAAAAACACAGCACUGUGCAAACACGAAAGUGGACGUAUACGGUGUGACGCCUGCCCGGUGCCGGAAGGUUAAUUGAUGGGGUCAGCGCAAGCGAAGCUCCUGAUCGAAGCCCCGGUAAACGGCGGCCGUAACUAUAACGGUCCUAAGGUAGCGAAAUUCCUUGUCGGGUAAGUUCCGACCUGCACGAAUGGCGUAAUGAUGGCCAGGCUGUCUCCACCCGAGACUCAGUGAAAUUGAACUCGCUGUGAAGAUGCAGUGUACCCGCGGCAAGACGGAAAGACCCCGUGAACCUUUACUAUAGCUUGACACUGAACAUUGAGCCUUGAUGUGUAGGAUAGGUGGGAGGCUUUGAAGUGUGGACGCCAGUCUGCAUGGAGCCGACCUUGAAAUACCACCCUUUAAUGUUUGAUGUUCUAACGUGGACCCGUAAUCCGGGUUGCGGACAGUGUCUGGUGGGUAGUUUGACUGGGGCGGUCUCCUCCUAAAGAGUAACGGAGGAGCACGAAGGUUGGCUAAUCCUGGUCGGACAUCAGGAGGUUAGUGCAAUGGCAUAAGCCAGCUUGACUGCGAGCGUGACGGCGCGAGCAGGUGCGAAAGCAGGUCAUAGUGAUCCGGUGGUUCUGAAUGGAAGGGCCAUCGCUCAACGGAUAAAAGGUACUCCGGGGAUAACAGGCUGAUACCGCCCAAGAGUUCAUAUCGACGGCGGUGUUUGGCACCUCGAUGUCGGCUCAUCACAUCCUGGGGCUGAAGUAGGUCCCAAGGGUAUGGCUGUUCGCCAUUUAAAGUGGUACGCGAGCUGGGUUUAGAACGUCGUGAGACAGUUCGGUCCCUAUCUGCCGUGGGCGCUGGAGAACUGAGGGGGGCUGCUCCUAGUACGAGAGGACCGGAGUGGACGCAUCACUGGUGUUCGGGUUGUCAUGCCAAUGGCACUGCCCGGUAGCUAAAUGCGGAAGAGAUAAGUGCUGAAAGCAUCUAAGCACGAAACUUGCCCCGAGAUGAGUUCUCCCUGAGACUUUAAGUCUCCUGAAGGAACGUUGAAGACGACGACGUUGAUAGGCCGGGUGUGUAAGCGCAGCGAUGCGUUGAGCUAACCGGUACUAAUGAACCGUGAGGCUUAACCUUACAACGCCGAAG
rnacentral:rRNA from 1 species